rnacentral:rRNA from 1 species
ACGCUUCUUUUUCCACCGGAGCUUGCUCACCGGAAAAAGAGGAGUGGCGAACGGGUGAGUAACACGUGGGUAACCUGCCCAUCAGAAGGGGAUAACACUUGGAAACAGGUGCUAAUACCGUAUAACAAUCAAAACCGCAUGGUUUUGAUUUGAAAGGCGCUUUCGGGUGUCGCUGAUGGAUGGACCCGCGGUGCAUUAGCUAGUUGGUGAGGUAACGGCUCACCAAGGCCACGAUGCAUAGCCGACCUGAGAGGGUGAUCGGCCACAUUGGGACUGAGACACGGCCCAAACUCCUACGGGAGGCAGCAGUAGGGAAUCUUCGGCAAUGGACGAAAGUCUGACCGAGCAACGCCGCGUGAGUGAAGAAGGUUUUCGGAUCGUAAAACUCUGUUGUUAGAGAAGAACAAGGAUGAGAGUAACUGUUCAUCCCUUGACGGUAUCUAACCAGAAAGCCACGGCUAACUACGUGCCAGCAGCCGCGGUAAUACGUAGGUGGCAAGCGUUGUCCGGAUUUAUUGGGCGUAAAGCGAGCGCAGGCGGUUUCUUAAGUCUGAUGUGAAAGCCCCCGGCUCAACCGGGGAGGGUCAUUGGAAACUGGGAGACUUGAGUGCAGAAGAGGAGAGUGGAAUUCCAUGUGUAGCGGUGAAAUGCGUAGAUAUAUGGAGGAACACCAGUGGCGAAGGCGGCUCUCUGGUCUGUAACUGACGCUGAGGCUCGAAAGCGUGGGGAGCAAACAGGAUUAGAUACCCUGGUAGUCCACGCCGUANACGAUGAGUGCUAAGUGUUGGAGGGUNUCCGUCCUUCAGUGCUGCAGCUAACGCAUUAAGCACUCCGCCUGGG